UCGAUGGGGAUGCGUUCCAUUAGCUUGUUGGCGGGGUAACGGCCCACCAAGGCAUCGAUGGAUAGGGGUUCUGAGAGGAAGGUCCCCCACAUUGGAACUGAGACACGGUCCAAACUCCUACGGGAGGCAGCAGUGAGGAAUAUUGGUCAAUGGGCGCUAGCCUGAACCAGCCAAGUAGCGUGAAGGAUGACUGCCCUAUGGGUUGUAAACUUCUUUUAUAUGGGAAUAAAGUGCAGUAUGUAUACUGCUUUGCAUGUACCUUAUGAAUAAGGAUCGGCUAACUCCGUGCCAGCAGCCGCGGUAAUACGGAGGAUCCGAGCGUUAUCCGGAUUUAUUGGGUUUAAAGGGAGCGUAGGCGGGUUGUUAAGUCAGUUGUGAAAGUUUGCGGCUCAACCGUAAAAUUGCAGUUGAUACUGGCAUCCUUGAGUACAGUAGAGGUAGGCGGAAUUCGUGGUGUAGCGGUGAAAUGCUUAGAUAUCACGAAGAACUCCGAUUGCGAAGGCAGCCUGCUGGACUGUAACUGACGCUGAUGCUCGAAAGUGUGGGUAUCAAACAGGAUUAGAUACCCUGGUAGUCCACACAGUAAACGAUGAAUACUCGCUGUUUGCGAUAUACAGUAA
rnacentral:rRNA from 1 species